rnacentral:lncRNA from 1 species
GUCCUCGGGCAUGCAGAGAGGCGCGGGAGAUGCCGCUCGGUGUGACGGGUCCGGUGAUGCGGUCGGCGCAACGAGUCAGGGUCGAGGGCGUCGCCUAGGACGACGUGGCGGCGGGCGGCGUGGGCUCUGGUCUCCGGUGAGCUGCACGUCGGAGCACCAAAACAAGAUCUACGCAAGUCAAAAGAUGCGAAACACCGAGAUUGCCCUUCGGGGAAGAUUGCCCUGACAGGUGGGUCCCACCUGUCAGCGGCACGGUGCAGGCUCGGGCGCGGUCGGGACGAGGCCGGUUCGGCCCAUUUGGCCGGGCCGGUCCGGUUUUCUGCUUUUUUUUUUUCCUUUUAGCCUUUUCUUUUUUACCCUUUUCUUAUUUCUUUGAUAUCUUUUGAUUUUGAACUCCAAGUUGGUCCAAAUAAAUUCCAGAAAAUUUGUAAAAUCAUGUUUUAUCAUGAUUCAACUUUUGGGAGUAAUUUCCCCUCAAAAUAAAAUAUCUAAAAAUACGUUUGCCCUAUAAAUGCCUUUAGGGCUAUAUAACUAAUUAAAUAAAAUAGUUUUUCAACUCCAAAUAAUUAUCCAAAAAUUAUGGGAUAGAUUAUUUAUGCAACAAACCCCUUUUAUAAAUAAACCCUAUUGGUUUAAAGAUCCAUAGCUCAAAUGGGUGUAAACCCUAGAGUUUAAAUUGAAAUAAAAUCUUUCUAAAGCCUUUUGAGAUUCAAAUUUGAAUUCAAAUAUGCAAUUGUGGCAUGAUGCUUAUGGAUGCAAUGCACAGGUAAGAAUUUGAAAUUUUUGGGAUGUUACACAUACCGAUCUUUCAAUUGGUAUCAGAGCCUCGUCUCUUAAAUAGGGCUUAACCGCCUUAAGAGUAUGGCCGACGUGAGUGGUGUGGUUGGAAACAAAGCUACUAUGGGCACCAAAGUGAGUAUGGACGUGUUGAUUAAGAUUUUGAGAUAUCUUAAUCCAUCCAUACUCAUUGAGGUUAAAUACAUGGUGGCCAAGAACAUUAAAGCCAAUGUUCCCACUACAUCUUACACCAACUCCAAGUUGCCCAAAUUCUCAGCCUUUGAGGAAAUGGACAAACCGGGUGUGGAUGCCGAAGCUUUAAAAGCUAAGGAUAAUAAUAGUGAUGUGGGAGCAAACCAUUCCCAAGGAAUAGGUGUCAUAUUGUGAUGUGGGGUCAUAUUGUG